ACACUGAAUCUCUAGCUCAAUCUAAUCAGUCCCAACCUAUAAAUCAAGAAUUUGAACAAUUGAUGUCACCACCGGCCAAUAGGACUCCAGUCACCUCAUCUAGUACAAUUGGCAAUGGAGACAAUGAUCAUCAAAUCUAGAUUGUACCUGAAGAGGACGGGUUUGAUCCUCACAAGAUAGUAAUUGACAGCAUUGCUAGUUGCAUUCGUAGUAAAUUUGAAUUGGCUGGACCCUUAUGGAAGAAGUUUCCACAAUCUACUCAUGAUAUGUGGUUUGAGGAAUUCAAG